AAUCCACGUUCCGAACCAUCGUAAAGACCGAAGAAAGAACAUCAUCCACAUUUUCUCGGACUUGCCAUCUCCCCAUCCCCACGUCUCUCUCAAACCCAAACCACCCGGAGGCCCAUCUCCCACGAACUCGCCCCCCUCUUGGCUACGAUGUGGCCUCAACCUGCGACGCCGCUCCCCGUGCCGCCGCGGAUCACGGUUCCCAUCGGCGCGGGCCAACCAUGGUCUUAACUCCAGACGUGAUGUCGCCGUCCCGCGGUCGCAGCGAUAUUGAGGGCGACAACUUCCUUGAUCCUCCUCUUCACGCGUCGCCGACUCCCAUGUGAUGUGCCGCCAACGAUCUCCACCGGCGCGGUGCCGGCCGCGACCUCCCCACACGAAUAGGACGACGAACACACUCUUCUUAGGAUCUAGGUGGUGACAUCGACCAUGCAGUGGCUGGUGCAAAAGCUGGAGGAAUCAGGAGAGGCACAUGUCAACAGAUGCGUGGGCGUGGGGCUGUUCAGGGACGUACGCGGCGGGCGACGGCCGGCGGGUCACUUCCAAUAUGGCGGCCUUCCGGCGUGGUCGCUGCACUAGAGGAGAGGAGUAGCAGCGGAGGCGCCUAGCUGGAAGUACCUGACCAGCCGCUUGACGCUAUUCCUGAACCAUGGAGUGGUCAUCCUCUGCUCCCAGGUCCUCCUCUCCCAUGGCAGGGGCCAGCGAGUGGCAACGGAUGAGCGGCGCAACAGACAGCAAGAAAUCGGCUGGGGGCAACGGACGGCAGGAGGCGGCGGGACCGUGCGAGGAGCAGGUAGCCGGAGGAGGUCGCUGGUGGAGAUCUGGGAAGUGGCGGCAGCAUACAGGGCUUAUGGUUUGAUGUUUGUCUUUUUACCUAUAGCACUGAAUACUUAUAGCACUGAAGUUCAUGUAUAGGUUGUGCUGAUCAUAAGAUUGCCGAGACAUUGCUUCAUAAAAAACACCCAGGUCUGCUUUUUAUUGUGAUUAUGCAAAUUGCACACAACUUGAGCUGUCCUAUUUUGUAGAUGAAGUGGAACUGAAAUCUUGUGUUACUGUGAAGAGUUGAAGACACAGUGGGUUGCUAUA